rnacentral:rRNA from 1 species
GAUGAACGCUGGCGGCGUGCCUAAUACAUGCAAGUCGAGCGAACAGACGAGGAGCUUGCUCCUCUGACGUUAGCGGCGGACGGGUGAGUAACACGUGGAUAACCUACCUAUAAGACUGGGAUAACUUCGGGAAACCGGAGCUAAUACCGGAUAAUAUAUUGAACCGCAUGGUUCAAUAGUGAAAGACGGUUUUGCUGUCACUUAUAGAUGGAUCCGCGCCGCAUUAGCUAGUUGGUAAGGUAACGGCUUACCAAGGCAACGAUGCGUAGCCGACCUGAGAGGGUGAUCGGCCACACUGGAACGGGGACACGGUCCAGACUCCUACGGGAGGCAGCAGUAGGGAAUGUUCCGCAAUGGGCGAAAGCCUGACGGAGCAACGCCGCGUGAGUGAUGAAGGUCUUCGGAUCGUAAAACUCUGUUAUUAGGGAAGAACAAAUGUGUAAGUAACUAUGCACGUCUUGACGGUACCUAAUCAGAAAGCCACGGCUAACUACGUG